rnacentral:misc_RNA from 1 species
CAUGCCUCUCUUCUCUGUGUAUCAUGAUGGAUCAUUGAAGUCUUUUACGAGCAACAAUCAACCAGUAUACUCGACAGUUCUUAGAGUGACCAAGAAAGAGGAAGAAUUUGUGUUCCAUGACAUAAUUGAGCGGCCGGUUCCUUCUAUAUUGCGGGGUUAUAGUGCUCCUAUCCGUCUUGAAUCCAAUCUCUCUGACAGUGAUCUGUUUUUCCUCCUUGC